rnacentral:rRNA from 1 species
CGAACGCUGGCGGCGUGCCUAAUACAUGCAAGUAGAACGCUGAAGGAGGAGCUUGCUCUUCUGGAUGAGUUGCGAACGGGUGAGUAACGCGUAGGUAACCUGCCUGGUAGCGGGGGAUAACUAUUGGAAACGAUAGCUAAUACCGCAUAACAGUAGAUGUUGCAUGACAUUUACUUAAAAGGUGCAAUUGCAUCACUACCAGAUGGACCUGCGUUGUAUUAGCUAGUUGGUGGGGUAACGGCUCACCAAGGCGACGAUACAUAGCCGACCUGAGAGGGUGAUCGGCCACACUGGGACUGAGACACGGCCCAGACUCCUACGGGAGGCAGCAGUAGGGAAUCUUCGGCAAUGGACGGAAGUCUGACCGAGCAACGCCGCGUGAGUGAAGAAGGUUUUCGGAUCGUAAAGCUCUGUUGUAAGAGAAGAACGAGUGUGAGAGUGGAAAGUUCACACUGUGACGGUAUCUUACCAGAAAGGGACGGCUAACUACGUG